rnacentral:misc_RNA from 1 species
AGCAGCCGCGGUAAUUCCAGCUCCAAUAGCGUAUAUUAAAGUUGCUGCAGUUAAAAAGCUCGUAGUUGAAUUUCGGGAUCAAUAUGUUGGUCGUGCCUCGGUACGUACUAGCUUAUUGGUUUCUCCCUUCUGACGAACCAUGAUGUCAUUUAUUUGGUGUUAUGGGAAAUCAGGACUGUUACUUUGAAAAAAUUAGAGUGUUUAAAGCAGGCUCACGCUUGAAUACAUUAGCAUGGAAUAAUGAAAUAGGACGUUUGAUUCUAUUUUGUUGGUUUCUAGGAUCGACGUAAUGAUUAAUAGGGAUAGUUGGGGGCAUUAGUAUUCAAUUGUCAGAGGUGAAAUUCUUGGAUUUAUUGAAGACUAACUACUGCGAAAGCAUUUGCCAAGGAUGUUUUCAUUAAUCAAGAACGAAAGUUAGGGGAUCGAAGACGAUCAGACACCGUCGUAGUCUUAACCAUAAACUAUGCCGACUAGGGAUCGGAUGAUGUUAAUUUUUUAAUGACUCAUUCGGCGCCUUACG